rnacentral:rRNA from 1 species
GUCGAACGGUAACAGGUCUUCGGACGCUGACGAGUGGCGAACGGGUGAGGAAGAGAUCGGAACGUGCCCAGUCGUGGGGGAUAACUACUCGAAAGAGUAGCUAAUACCGCAUACGAUCUGAGGAUGAAAGCGGGGGACCUUCGGGCCUCGCGCGAUUGGAGCGGCCGAUGGCAGAUUAGGUAGUUGGUGGGAUGAAAGCUGGCCAAGCCGACGAUCUGUAGCUGGUCUGAGAGGACGACCAGCCACACUGGGACUGAGACACGGCCCAGACUCCUACGGGAGGCAGCAGUGGGGAAUUUUGGACAAUGGGCGAAAGCCUGAUCCAGCAAUGCCGCGUGCAGGAUGAAGGCCUUCGGGUUGUAAACUGCUUUUGUACGGAACGAAAAAGCUUCUCCUAAUACGAGAGGCCCAUGACGGUACCGUACGAAUAAGCACCGGCUAACUACGUGCCAGCAGCCGCGGUAAUACGUAGGGUGCGAGCGUUAAUCGGAAUUACUGGGCGUAAAGCGUGCGCA